AAAAGGAUAGAUCGAGGUAGAGAGAAUUCACCUACAACCAAUCUACUAUUUCUUGGGUAAUAUACCUGCAACCGAUUGACAAGAUCUGAGUCGUCAUUCAAGAUCCAUUCUUGAAUUCAAAAACAUAUAUGAGGAAACUAAAACGCGGUGUAAUAAAACCUGGGUUUUGUUCAUGUUCAUCCGCUGCUCUUAGUGGUGGUGGUGGCGGUGUGAGAGGGCGAUGAACGUAGGACUCCGGUUCGGAGCCAACAAAGGAGAAAAGUAGAGUUUUUGAAGGAGAAAGAUAGAGAAAGAGAAACAGAUCAGACCCAAAAAAAAGUUAAAAAAGAAGGCGGAGGACGUAUAAGGAUAAUAUGAGUUUUUUUGGAAGGUAAGCAUAUUAGGGUUCAAUGGUUUAAUGUCACUCAAAUUCGUUAGAAAUAGAUGUAUAAGAGCAUCCCCAACAGCUUCCUCAUUUUCUUAAAUUUCUCAAUUUUAGGGAAUAUAGAGCUCUUUUUAGGUCCAACAGCUUCCCCAUCCCAUUCUCCAAAAUGGGGAUGAAGAAGAAAAAGAAACAUUCAUUCCCCAAAUUUGCAGCAAAACCUUCCUUCCCCAAAAUUAAAUUCUUCACGUACUCCAACGAAUUUAAAACAACAAUAAAAUAUUUGAUUGGGUAGUUUAUUGUUACAAUGAAAUAUAUAAUGUUUUUUUGUUAUAAUUCAUGAUGAUAUAUUAUAUUUUAUUGUUGUAUUAAAUGCCGAAAUCUCUAAAAUGGAGAAGCUGCUGGAUUUUAAUCAUAAUUUUUUUAGAGAAUUUAGCUUUUACUUCCCCAUUUUAGAGAAAUUUUGGAGAAGCUGUUGGAUAUGCUCUAACUCUAACAGAUAUCUGUGUAAAUGUGCCUGGGUUCUAUUCUUACGAAAAGUUGUGUCUAAUUUUGUAUUUCACGUAUCCGUGUCAAUAUUUCACAUGGUUAAGAAUAUAUUAUCACAUUUGACACGGAUAUAAGUAACAAUAGUUUAUUGUUACGGAAUAGUGUAAUUAUAGUUAAAAAAUUAAAUAUCAUGAAUUAUAGUAAUAUUUUAUUGUCACAGCUAUCUGUGUGAAUAGUUAUACACACAGAUGACCGUGUAACUAAUUAAUACAUUUACACUGUAUUUCGUAACUAAUAUCUUUUCACACGGUUUUUUGUUACCAUUGCUAUUGCAUAAAGUAACGUAGACCAUAAAAGCCUAUUUCACACGGUUAGCAGUAGCACAUUGUAUUUCUCACAGAAUUCUAUGAGUUUAAAGUAAAUGUGAGAAAUAAAUCCGUGUGAAAGGUUAUUUUUCUAGUAGUGAGGUAAAUCUAGAUAAUCAUAUUCAUGCAUUUUGUGCAACUCUCAUAGUUGAAACAGAUUGCCAGGUUCUUGACUUCUUGUUAAGGGCACUUGGGAAUAACUCUCUUGAUCAAUCAGAUCUUGGUUUUCUUCUCUCUGAUCUGAGGGAGCUUUUGUGUCUUGCAUCUUAUGCACAACUUCGUUUUGUUGGUAGGACUGUCGCCCUCACUAUAGCAAGGAAGCUUUUCAAGCUUCUAGUAAUUAAUUAGGUGUUUAAUCUAGCUUGUACCAUCUCCGCAUAAGGAGAGGUGUUAAUUACUUUUGAGAUGUAUAAUUCUUAAGAAAAAGAGUGCGGCUAUUGGAAUCUUCAAAUUUGCUUAAUAUACCUCUCAUUCUCUCUACACCUCCCUUUUACUUUUCAAUAUAAGCAUUUUCUCAUUAGACCUCAUUUCAAAUUUCUAACAUAACCUUAGUUAUUUAUUGACAUAUAUUUCAAUUAAUUACUUACUUAGUUACUUUACCUCUUAUUCACUCAAUAGACCUCUCAUUCUUUAUUUUUAUUUUUUUACCUUUUUGUUUUUGAACAUCCAUUACUUAGUUACUUUACCUCUUAUUCACUCUAAUAGACCUCUCAUUCUUUAUUUUUAUUUUUUUACCUUUUUGUUUUUGUAACAUCCAUUACUUAGUUACUUUACCUCUUAUUCACUCAAUAGACCUCUCAUUCUU
rnacentral:lncRNA from 1 species